AUUGAACGCUGGCGGCAGGCCUAACACAUGCAAGUCGAGCGGUAGAGAGGUGCUUGCAUCUCUUGAGAGCGGCGGACGGGUGAGUAAUGCCUAGGAAUCUGCCUAGUGGUGGGGGAUAACGUUCGGAAACGGACGCUAAUACCGCAUACGUCCUACGGGAGGAAAGACGGGGGGAGUCUUCGGACCUCGCGCCAUUAGAUGAGCCUAGGUCGGAUUAGCUAGUUGGUGAGGUAAUGGCUCACCAAGGCGACGAUCCGUAACUGGUCUGAGAGGAUGAUCAGUCACACUGGAACUGAGACACGGUCCAGACUCCUACGGGAGGCAGCAGUGGGGAAUAUUGGGACAAAUGGGCGAAAGCCUGAUCCAGCCAUGCCGCGUGUGUGAAGAAGGUCUUCGG
rnacentral:rRNA from 1 species